UACGGGGGGAGCAAGCGUUGUUCGGAUUUACUGGGCGUAAAGGGCGCGUAGGCGGUCAGCACAAGUCGGUUGUGAAAUCUCCGAGCUUAACUCGGAAAGGUCAACCGAAACUGUGCGACUAGAGUGCAGAAGGGGCAACUGGAAUUCUUGGUGUAGCGGUGAAAUGCGCAGAUAUCAGGAGGAACACCGGUGGCGAAGGCGGUUCUCUGGCAAUGUUCUGACGCUGAGGAGCGAAAGUGUGGGGAGCGAACAGG
rnacentral:rRNA from 1 species